rnacentral:rRNA from 1 species
CUACGGGGCGCUGCAGGCGCGAAACCUUUACAAUGCACGCAAGUGUGAUAAGGGAAUUCUGAGUGCUCAUGCAAAGCAUGGGCUUUUGCCAAGGGUAAAUACCUUGGCGAAUAAGUGGUGGGCAAGACUGGUGCCAGCCGCCGCGGUAACACCAGCGCCACAAGUGGGAAUCAGAUUUAUUGGGCCUAAAGCGUUCGUAGCCGGUUUAGUAAAUCCUUUGUGAAAUUGUUAAGCUCAACUUAGCAGCGUGCAGAGGAUAUUGCUAGACUAGGGACCGGGAGGAGUGUGAGGUAUUCCUUGGGGAGCGGUAAAAUGUUAUAAUCCUUGGAAGACCACCUGUGGCGAAGGCGUCACACUAGAACGGAUCCGACGGUGAGGGACGAAAGCCAGGGGAGCGAUCCGGAUUAGAUACCCGCGUAGUC